ACACUCCUGCGGGAGGCAGCAGUGGGGAAUUUUGGACAAUGGGCGAAAGCCUGAUCCAGCCAUGCCGCGUGCAGGAUGAAGGCAUUCGGGUUGUAAACUGCUUUUGUACGGAACGAAACGGCCUUUUCUAAUAAAGAGGGCUAAUGACGGUACCGUAAGAAUAAGCACCGGCUAACUACGUGCCAGCAGCCGCGGUAAUACGUAGGGUGCAAGCGUUAAUCGGAAUUACUGGGCGUAAAGCGUGCGCAGGCGGUUAUGUAAGACAGUUGUGAAAUCCCCGGGCUAAACCUGGGAACUGCAUCGGUGACUGCAUAGCUAGAGUACGGUAGAGGGGGAUGGAAUUCCGCGUGUAGCAGUGAAAUGCGUAGAUAUGCGGAGGAACACCGAUGGCGAAGGCAAUCCCCUGGACCUUUACUGACGCUCAUGCACGAAAGCGUGGGGAGCAAACAGGAUUAGAAACCCGGGUAGUCCCA
rnacentral:rRNA from 1 species